rnacentral:rRNA from 1 species
GUGGGGAAUCUUCCGCAAUGGACGAAAGUCUGACGGAGCAACGCCGCGUGAGUGAAGAAGGUUUUCGGAUCGUAAAGCUCUUUCGUUAGGGACGAACGUGCUCUUUGUGAAUAAUGAGGAGUAAUGACGGUACCUAAAUAAGAAGCCACGGCUAACUACGUGCCAGCAGCCGCGGUAAUACGUAGGUGGCAAGCGUUGUCCGGAAUUAUUGGGCGUAAAGCGCGCGCAGGCGGGAUAUCAAGGCUGUCUUAAAAGUGCGGGGCUCAACCUCGUGAGGGGACAGAAACUGGUAUUCUUGAGUGUCGGAGAGGAAAGUGGAAUUCCAAGUGUAGCGGUGAAAUGCGUAGAGAUUUGGAAGAACACCAGUGGCGAAGGCGACUUUCUGGACGAUGUCUGACGCUGAGGCGCGAAAGCUAGGGGAGCGAACGGGAUUAGAAACCCGGGUAGUCC